GUGGGGAAUUUUGGACAAUGGGGGCAACCCUGAUCCAGCAAUGCCGCGUGCAGGAAGAAGGCCUUCGGGUUGUAAACUGCUUUUGUACGGAACGAAACGGUCUGGGUUAAUACCCUGGGCUAAUGACGGUACCGUAAGAAUAAGCACCGGCUAACUACGUGCCAGCAGCCGCGGUAAUACGUAGGGUGCGAGCGUUAAUCGGAAUUACUGGGCGUAAAGCGUGCGCAGGCGGUUUUGUAAGACAGGCGUGAAAUCCCCGGGCGCAACGUGGGAAUGGCGCUUGUGACUGCAAAGCUGGAGUGCGGCAGAGGGGGAUGGAAUUCCGCGUGUAGCAGUGAAAUGCGUAGAUAUGCGGAGGAACACCGAUGGCGAAGGCAAUCCCCUGGGCCUGCACUGACGCUCAUGCACGAAAGCGUGGGGAGCAAACAGGAUUAGAUACCCGGGUAGUCC
rnacentral:rRNA from 1 species